UGACAUCAGCGGUCAUGGAGAGUCUCCAUCCAGCUGGAUCACUGUCACAGGUUCUCCCACCUCUCCUCCUCCAUCAGCCUCCACUGCCUCCCUUUCCUCCCCCUUUUUCUCUCCUCCUCUCUCUGUGAUGGUGUCUGUUCCCUCCAUAACUGGGUUGCUGCUGCUGGUCAUACUGCUUCUAGUGCUGAGACGAUGCAUCAAGAGAAAAACUGGAGUGAAUGAUCGUGCAACUGCUGCCACCUCUUCAUCAGUGAGAAGAACAUCAGCAGAUGAUGGAAAUGGGUCAAAGAUGAUGAGAGAGAGUGAACCAGCGGCAGCUUAUUCUUCAGUGCACAGAACAUCUGACAUCAACUAUGCACAGAUCCCCAUCAAGACGAACUGCAGACAGAGAGAACUUCCACCAGAGCCAGCGGUCAUCUACUCCUCACUGAAGCUGAGCCACACACCUUCACCACAGUGUAACCAGUCUGACCAGUGAUGUCCAGCUGGCUGCCAAACACAUCCCUGCACUCCUCUUUAUAUUAUAUAUUAUUUAUUUAGUCAUAUUCUGUGUGUGUUUACAGUCGUAAAGCUGCAUUGGACCAGUUUGAAUGUAGAGGUCAGAAACACAGAGUCAACAGACUCUGAAAACAGCUGCAGCACAUCAGCAGGCAUCAUUUCAUUUUAUUCUUCAAAGAGAAGAAACUCGCCUAGAAUCAUUUUAAGGAGCGACAUCAUCCUCAGAAGUCUCUUGAAGUCUCUUCUGGCAGCUUAAAGGACACUUUACUUUUUGUUUUGUGUGUAUCAAAUAAACUGAGAGCAGUUCAGCUCUGUGGAGAUGCUGUGCUAGAGGGUGAAUGUGGGAAUGCCAUCAAGAUGUAAACGGUUUUCUUUGAGACUGGCUUCACAGGUUGGCGUGAAAGUGUUGCACUGUGUAAAACUGUCGCACCGUUUCGAAUGAGUCAGCAGCUCUUUCGUCAUUUAGUUUCCUCUUUUGAAAACUAAACUCAGUCAGCAGAGGUGUUGAAGUCGCUUCUCAAGUCCACAUUUUCCAUCGCAUGACUUUGUCUCAUUUUGCAGGGAGCGAUCCAGCUGCAGCUUAUUGUUCAGGGCACAGAACAAGUGAGGUCAGUUAUGGAUGAACUGUAGAUGCACAAAUGAAAAAGGCUCCGAUCUCAGCCUGCAGCAGCAGAAACAAUGAAAAGACAUGAAAACAGGAGACAGUUACAGCACAUUAGUCAGUGAGGUCAUAAGGAGGUGACUUACGCAGAUGAUUUCAUUUAUUUAGGAUUGAAAGCUAGCCAACCCUACAGGCCCCUGUGUGAGAGGGACUGCACCCUGGUGUUAAAUUUUGAAUUAACUGUGAUUAACCACAUUUUAUUUUGGAAAGCUGAAUUGAAUUUCACUACAUCCACACUCAGGCCUGAUUCCUGUCAGACCUGCUGGACCAGGAAAUCAUUUAAAUAAAACUCGUCUGACAAAGUGAAGCAGGCUGUAGACAUGAUGCCUUGAUCUAAUGAAACAGCCGAGAAACCAAAUCAAUGACAACUAUAAGUCUGGAAAGUGUUAGAAAGGCAUCUCUAAGGUUUUGGGACCAAUAUGAGCGCCAUUAUCCACAAAUGGAGGAAGCCUGUGGAAACAGGAGUAACACACCAACGGCUCAUUCAGGUCACAAAAGAACCCAGAACAACAUUUAAAGAAUUGCUGUAAAGCCACUCAGAGCUCAGGAUCAAGUGGAAAAAUCCUUUAUUCCUUUAAUAAAUCAUGUUAAAUGCAGUUCCUCGGUUAUUGAACACACACAUUCAGCUUUUAUUUGGUUGUGUUCUUGCCUUGAGCAGAAUCGAAAGACUUCCGCAUGCAUGUCUGAGCCUGAGGAGCUCAGGUCUUGUUUUUCAUUCUUUAAAUACACGGAACUGUUUAAAGGAGUGGCAGUGCAUUUGUAUAAUCCAGCUGCUUCUCCACACCUCUUUCAUACACUGAAGGUAACAGCACAUCUGUGAAUGACAGUGCAGAGAAGCCAAACUAUAAUGACUCAAUCAUUUACCUUAAAAGUUUUAACGGUGUUUUAAUAAUGGAUGUGGAUCACACAGCUUUUUUCAGUGAUGAGCAGUGACUAAAAGCAGCCAGCAGGUGGCGGUCCUGGACCCACCAUUACAGUCAGCUGACAUGAGCACAAUAAGUUCUUUUAUUUGUUUAUUGCCAGAGUUAAGUCAUUAAUCCUCAAGGAGAAAAAAUAUUUGGGGGAUUCCAGCUGUUCUUCUUCUUGCAUAUUCAAACUGUGGAGCUGAAUUCAUCGUUUCCAGAUGUUGGAAAAAAGGCAACGCCACAAUGACUUUGUUCCACAACACAGCGUUUCCAGUCCACACCUGCAGAGUAAUCUGAUUACCAAUUAAUCCCACUAACAGCAGCAGGUUCUGCUCUGACACAAGAACGAAAGCUCUUCCAGCACAGAGACUUCCUGCUAUCUGUGUUAUUGUGCAGCUGUUUGCAUUCCUGUGGCUGUUUCAGACACACAACGAUCCUGCCCUCCCCCAGAACCACCAACAGCGAUCCUGCCCUCCCCCAGCACCACCCACAGCAAAACAAAAACAUUCAUUCGCUGACCAGUUUCAGUUAUUUCAAAACAAACUCCAUCCAAACCAAGCCAGCUGGUCAACGUGUUUUAUUAACAUCAGAACAUAAUGCUAUACACAUGUAGGGGUCACAUCUGUGGUCAUUGCCAAGAAACAAAAGUGAAAGAUCAACAUGAACAUGAGACAGUUACAGACAAUCUUCACAUUACAAGAGAACUCUUAUUAAAAGUCAGUGUUACACAUGUCAUUAGUAUUAAAAGGGAGAUGUGUACAUAUGUACAUAUAUCUGAGUAAUAUAUAUAUAAAAAAUGAUCUCUGGCUUAGACCAAAACACAAGACACGUGAAACCACAAAUCCCCAUGUUCACGUGUCAUAGUCAUGGUUACUGACAUCUGACAAACCCACAAAACCCAUGAAAAUCUAACCUCCAGUCUCCACGGUUUAAAGAGAAACAGCUUUCAUUCUCAAUCAACAUACAAAAAUAAAACUUGCUCUGUCA